UAAUACGGAGGGAGCUAGCGUUGUUCGGAAUUACUGGGCGUAAAGGGCGCGUAGGCGGUGAUGUAAGUCAGAUGUGAAAACCAUCGGCUUAACCGAUUGGAUUGCAUUUGAUACUGCACCACUUGAGUUCAGUAGAGGAGAGUGGAAUUCCCAGUGUAGCGGUGGAAUGCGUAGAUAUUGGGAAGAACACCAGUGGCGAAGGCGGCUCUCUGGACUGAUACUGACGCUGAUGCGCGAAAGCUAGGGGAGCGAACAGG
rnacentral:rRNA from 1 species